rnacentral:lncRNA from 1 species
GAAGUCUUCGUGCUCGGUGAUGUGACGCGCCUGCUGCAGAGCCUGAGUGUAUUCCACCUGAGGAAGCAAGCUGCCUGUCAUCCUUGAAGAUAAAACUAGGCUUCUGUUUUCUUCUGUUAACCUGAACGAUGUCAUUUGGGUCAGAGGUCCUCCCCUCUCAGAUUAUGUUAACGUCUGACUCUGUCCAAAUGAGUUCACUUCCAUUUUCAAAUUUUAAACAAUCAUAUUUUCAAUUUAUAUAUUGUAUUUCUUAAUAUUAUGACCAAGAAUUUUAUCGGCAUUAAUUUUUCAGUGUAGUUUGUUGUUUAAAAUAAUGUAAUCAUUCAAAUGAUACAUAUUGUUACACUACUAUUAACUAGGC